AGCAAAUAGAUACCCGGGUAGUCCACGCCAUAAACGAUGAGGACUAGACGUUGGAGGGGUAAGCCUUUCAGUGUCGUAGCUAAACGCGCUAAGUCCUCCGCCUGGGGAGUACGGCCGCAAGGUUGAAACUCGAAGGAAUUGACGGGGACCCGCACAAGCGGUGGAGCAUGUGGUUUAAUUCGAUGCAACGCGAAGAACCUUACCUGGUCUUGACAUCCAUGGAACCCUGCAGAGAUGCGGGGGUGCCGUAAGGAACCAUGAGACAGGUGCUGCAUGGCUGUCGUCAGCUCGUGUCGUGAGAUGUUGGGUUAAGUCCCGCAACGAGCGCAACCCUUGUCCUUAGUUGCCAUCAUUUAGUUGGGAACUCUAAGGAGACCGCCGGUGACAAACCGGAGGAAGGUGGGGAUGACGUCAAGUCAUCAUGGCCUUUAUGACCAGGGCUACACACGUGCUACAAUGGUAGAUACAGAGGGAAGCCAACGCGCGAGCGGGAGCUAAUCCCAGAAAA
rnacentral:rRNA from 1 species